rnacentral:rRNA from 1 species
CACGUAGGGUGCGAGCGUUGUCCGGAAUUAUUGGGCGUAAAGAGCUCGUAGGCGGUGUGUCGCGUCGGCCGUGAAAACCUGCAGCUUAACUGUGGGCUUGCGGUCGAUACGGGCAUCACUGGAGUUCGGCAGGGGAGACUGGAAUUCCUGGUGUAGCGGUGAAAUGCGCAGAUAUCUGGAGGAACACCGGUGGCGAAGGCGGCAUCCUGGACCGGUAUUGACGCUGAGGCGCGAAAGCCAGGGGAGCAAACGGG